rnacentral:rRNA from 1 species
CCUACGGGAGGCAGCAGUGGGGAAUCUUGCGCAAUGGGCGAAAGCCUGACGCAGCAACGCCGCGUGCGGGAAGAAGGCCUUCGGGUUGUAAACCGCUUUCAGCAGGAACGAAAAUGACGGUACCUGCAGAAGAAGGAGCGGCCAACUACGUGCCAGCAGCCGCGGUGACACGUAGGCUCCAAGCGUUGUCCGGAUUUAUUGGGCGUAAAGAGCUCGUAGGCGGUUCAGUAAGUCGGGUGUGAAAACUCUGGGCUCAACCCAGAGCCUGCAUUCGAAACUGCUGUGACUAGAGUUUGGUAGGGGAGCGGGGAAUUCCUAGUGUAGCGGUGAAAUGCGCAGAUAUUAGGAGGAACACCGGUGGCGAAAGCGCCGCUCUGGGCCAAUACUGACGCUGAGGAGCGAAAGCGUGGGUAGCAAACAGGAUUAGAUACCCUGGUAGUCCACGCCGUAAACGAUGGGCACUAGGUGUGGGUUUCAACUAACGAAAUCCGUGCCGUCGCUAACGCAUUAAGUGCCCCGCCUGGGGAGUACGGUCGCAAGCUAAAACUCAAAUGAAUUGACCGG